AGAGUUUGAUCCUGGCUCAGGAUGAACGCUAGCGGCAGGCCUAACACAUGCAAGUCGAGGGGUAGCAGGAUUAAGCUUGCUUAAUUGCUGACGACCGGCGCACGGGUGCGUAACGCGUAUGCAACCUACCUUAUACUGGGGUAUAGCCCGGAGAAAUUCGGAUUAAUCCCCCAUAGUACUGUUUUACCGCAUGGUAAGACAGUUAAAGCAUUGCGGUAUAAGAUGGGCAUGCGUCCUAUUAGCUAGAUGGUGAGGUAACGGCUCACCAUGGCUACGAUAGGUAGGGGGCCUGAGAGGGUGGUCCCCCACACUGGUACUGAGACACGGACCAGACUCCUACGGGAGGCAGCAGUGAGGAAUAUUGGUCAAUGGGCGCAAGCCUGAACCAGCCAUGCCGCGUGCAGGAAGAAUGCCCUAUGGGUUGUAAACUGCUUUUAUUUGGGAAUAAACCUCUUUACGUGUAGAGAGCUGAAGGUACCAAAUGAAUAAGCACCGGCUAACUCCGUGCCAGCAGCCGCGGU
rnacentral:rRNA from 1 species